UACGUAGGGUGCAAGCGUUAAUCGGAAUUACUGGGCGUAAAGCGUGCGCAGGCGGUUCGUUGUGUCGGCGGUGAAAGCCCCGGGCUUAACCUGGGAAUGGCCGUUGAAACUGGCGAACUGGAGUGUGGCAGAGGGGGUGGAAUUCCGCGUGUAGCAGUGAAAUGCGUAGAGAUGCGGAGGAACACCGAUGGCGAAGGCAGCCCCCUGGGCUAACACUGACGCUCAGGCACGAAGCGUG
rnacentral:rRNA from 1 species